CCCAGAUCUUAUGGUGAAGAGGCAGCGGCUCUACACAACGAAACACUAGCGUUGUCUCUUCGCCGUUGCAAUGUUGCCCCUUCGCCACUGCAAUGUUGCCUCUUCUUCGCCGCUGCAAUGUUGCCCCUUCGCCGCUUUGCCGCUGUUAUAACUGUUCUUCCCUUCGACGCUGCCGCUGUUUCCAGACAAAUAGGAUGGCUGGAUCCAAGCAGCACUCAUCAAUAAGAAAGCAGCAGCAUAGGGCAGCAACGGAACACUCUAGUGAGUGGAGAAAUCAUAACAAAAACCAUACAUAUUGGACUAACGAAGAUGGAGAUAUCUGCACUGGUGUUGGCUUGUGGUUUGAGGGUCGGAGCUGACGGAACAUAUCGUAAGUGCAAGAUUUGAUCUUGUAUGGGCUAUCCAUUGGCAUUGCAUUUCGUGAAGUGCUUCACAGUUCUGUCUUCGGGAAUUUGUGUGGUUUGCCAUGUCAAUUUCUCGUUCUGCUUUGACAUAAACACUUUCAAGCUUGAAAUUUUGAUUGCAGCUUCAGAGCAGAUCAAGUGUGUUCAAAGGCAGCAAAUACUUCAAGAUCGAUCACUGAUAUCAGCCGACAGAUAGGAUGGCCGGAUCCAAGCAGCACUCAUCAGUAAGAAACCAGCAGCAAGGGCAGCAAGGCUGCAAAACAAAGCUUUCUAAUUAGUGGAGAAAUCAUCACAAAAACCAUAAGAAGACAUACAUUGGGAGGCUACUGCCACCACAAGCACCACAUUCAUGACCAACUGUUGCUGUGGGAUUAGACACAGGAAAUCUAAUUGCUGGAGGUACCCAUGGGGAAGAUGUCUAAUGGUGCAGUGCUCCAAGGGAUGUGCAUACCUGUGCAACUGAUGUUGUAGAGAUUGGCAUUGAUGGUGGCCUCCUCUGUACAGACUUGCUCUAACUUCCAAACCUAUCUAUUGUAUCGAAAUGUCAACAGGGACAAUCGAGCUAUCGUUUGCUUGAGCA